AGAACGAACGCUGGCGGCAUGCCUAAUACAUGCAAGUCGAACGAGACCUUCGGGUCUAGUGGCGCACGGGUGCGUAACGCGUGGGAAUCUACCCUUGGGUUCGGAAUAACAGUUGGAAACGACUGCUAAUACCGGAUGAUGACGAAAGUCCAAAGAUUUAUCGCCCAGGGAUGAGCCCGCGUAGGAUUAGCUAGUUGGUGAGGUAAAGGCUCACCAAGGCUACGAUCCUUAGCUGGUCUGAGAGGAUGAUCAGCCACACUGGGACUGAGACACGGCCCAGACUCCUACGGGAGGCAGCAGUAGGGAAUAUGGACAAUGGGGGCAACCCUGAUCCAGCAAUGCCGCGUGAGUGAUGAAGGCCUUAGGGUUGUAAAGCUCUUUUUACCCGAGAUGAUAAUGACAGUAUCGGGAGAAUAAGCUCCGGCUAACUCCGCGCCAGCAGCCGC
rnacentral:rRNA from 1 species